UAAAAGAGAACAAAAGUGAAUUUACUACAAUGAAUAGCUGACCAAUUUUUAAACCCAGACCAUUUUGAGGUCAUCAGAUUUGUUUCUAUAUGUCUGUUGUUACACGAGUUUCAGGGAACAGAGCAUAUCCAUAAAUGCCUGAGGUGCUUUGAGACUCAAAAGUAGCCUUUUGCUGGACAAGUCUGGAGAGAAGAUAAUUAAGCCAUGUAAAGCUGAGACCAUAGUAGUUUCUCCUGGAUCUUUAAAUUUUUUAUUUCUUUUUGAGCAAUCCUUAAUUUCUUGGUUUCAUUAUUAAAAGGGUCUUCUUUAGAUUAAGGUGAUCUAGCUCCCCAAAACUAAGUAGCAUCAUCUAAAGAAGAUGAACUUGAGUCAAGAAAUAAUGGGUUUCUCCUGUUGAAGUUAAGGAUUACUCAGAAGAUCCUAUUUUCUUACUCAGAAGCCAUUCUUCACAAAAUUAUCACAUGUUUUUGCUAUGUAUUUUAAAUACCACAAAUUUUGCAAAGUGCUACUAUAGGGAUUCCAUCCAGUGACCCACAGCUUCAUUUUGUGAGCUCACAGUCAAAACCAUGGAGAGAAGCCGUGGGGUUGAAUGCAUGACCUCAUACUCCCAAGUUCUAAACUUGACCCCAACCAGAUAUAUGCAAAAUGAUGUCAAAAAUGAAGUUUGUACCUGAGGCCUAAAUACACUCUUUUCUUUCCUUUUCUUUUCUUUUCUCUUCUCUUCUCUUCUCUUCUCUUCUCUUCUCUUCUCUUCUCUUCUCUUCUCUUCUUUCUCUUCUUCUUCUUUCUCUUCUCUUCUUUCCCCACUCAGCCAUUUAAAUGCUUUUUCCGGAAAAGUCUGUGAAGUCUUCUACAGUGAGGGCUUGCUUAUGCCCAGAGAGCAAUAUAUCAAACUCUUGCUGACACCUUAUGGAAGUGACAUAUUUAGGGAUUGUCAUUCUUCAAGGCACUGUGCUCUGGAGGCUUUUGAAGGAAAAGAAGGAAACCAGCUUCUAGGGAAACCAACCCCUGAUAUGCUUCCAGCUGGAGAAAUGGAGGAGACAGAAGGAAACCAACAGCUCUGAGGCCAUGACAGGAGAAAACAAGGAAAUAAGCAUUUUUGUCUUUCUUUUGACUUCAUAAAUCCCAAUUCCCUCUUCCUUAAUGGAUCAAGAUUUCAUAAUUAUUGGCUUGCUUAUCUAUCUUCUCAGGAAAUUUUAAACUGAAAC
rnacentral:lncRNA from 12 species